rnacentral:piRNA from 1 species
UAGGAAGGUUGAGAACUACUGUCCUAAA